GGAUGAACGCUGGCGGCGUGCCUAACACAUGCAAGUCGAACGGAUCCAUAUUGAAACCUAGUGAUGUAUGGAUUAGUGGCGGACGGGUGAGUAACGCGUGGAUAACCUGCCGUAUACAGGGGGAUAACACUUAGAAAUAGGUGCUAAUACCGCAUAAGCGCACGGUUCCGCAUGGAACAGUGUGAAAAACUCCGGUGGUAUACGAUGGAUCCGCGUCUGAUUAGCCAGUUGGCGGGGUAACGGCCCACCAAAGCGACGAUCAGUAGCCGGCCUGAGAGGGUGAACGGCCACAUUGGGACUGAGACACGGCCCAAACUCCUACGGGAGGCAGCAGUGGGGAAUAUUGCACAAUGGGGGAAACCCUGAUGCAGCGACGCCGCGUGAGUGAAGAAGUAUCUCGGUACGUAAAGCUCUAUCAGCAGGGAAGAAAAAAAGUCCUUUGGACUUUGGACGGUACCUGACCAAGAAGCCCCGGCUAACUACGUGCCAGCAGCCGCGGUAAUACGUAGGGGG
rnacentral:rRNA from 1 species